GAACUAACCUACUCUUGACUCCAGAGAACUUAGCAGAGAUGCUUUGGUGCCUUCGGGAACUCUGAGACAGGUGCUGCAUGGCUGUCGUCAGCUCGUGUUGUGAAAUGUUGGGUUAAGUCCCGCAACGAGCGCAACCCUUAUCCUUUGUUGCCAGCGGUUCGGCCGGGAACUCAAAGGAGACUGCCAGUGAUAAACUGGAGGAAGGUGGGGAUGACGUCAAGUCAUCAUGGCCCUUACGAGUAGGGCUACACACGUGCUACAAUGGCGUAUACAAAGAGAAGCGACCUCGCGAGAGCAAGCGGACCUCAUAAAGUACGUCGUAGUCCGGAUUGGAGUCUGCAACUCGACUCCAUGAAGUCGGAAUCGCUAGUAAUCGUAGAUCAGAA
rnacentral:rRNA from 1 species